UCAGUUCAGUGUUUCCAUGAUCUCUCGAUCGGAAUAGAAAAGGAAUAAACCCCACAUUUCAAACCGAUCGACAUUUCAUUGUGAUCGUGCUCAAUCGGAUCGAUUAAGGUGUUUACUGGAAGGCUUUUCAGUGAAUAGCCUACAUGUGCAUAUUAUCACGUAUUCGAAACAAAACUUCAGCGCAUGCGCGUCAGGUAAUGCCUUUCAGCCAGAGAAAGCGAUAUAACUGACAAGUUUGGCGUCAGUAUAGGUUUUCUUUUUGUUAAAGAAAUUAAUACUUUUAUUCAGUAUCAUGGACACAUUAAAUUGAUCAAAAUCGUGACA